rnacentral:lncRNA from 1 species
CCGCCCGCCUCACGGAGCCGGGCAGCGUCAAGGGGCCCUCGUUCUGAGCGAUUCCCCGUGAAAAUCCCUUCCCAAAGUGACCGCAACACUGCAAUCCCGCGGGGAGCAGCUUCCAGGCUUUCCUGAGGUGAGGGUGGAGGUGGGAGAAAACACACCCUUAAAUUGUUAAUUUUGGGACCUGAUUUUCUUUUACGCAGUUCUGGCGGCAUAAAAGAAUCUUAGAAUGGGUAUAAAUUUUAUGAAAAUCCCUUCCCAAAGGGACCACAACACUACAAUCCCAUGGGGAGCAACUUCCAGGCCUUCCUGGCUCUGGGGUGAGGGAAAACACAGCCCUAAAAUGUUAAUUUUGGCACCUGAUUUUUUUUACACAGUUGUGGCAGCGUAGAUUUUAUUUAAAUACACUUUAGGGUUCCUCUGUGCUGCCAGAAUCUUUAAAGGCAUCUUUAUGUAAACCAGAAUAAGGGCCUCUAAUCCUGUUUCCAUUCAUGGGGUUUUAAAUCUGCUCCCUGCACCCUUUCCCCAAAAGAAAAAAAAAAUGGAAUAAAUUUUAUAAUUCCCUGUGAUGUUUGAAGGAGCUGGUGGAAAUUCCCUUUUUAGUCUUCCCUUUUCUUUUUUAAGUUGGAAUUUUUUUUAAAGCCCCCCCCCCAAAACCAAAAUCAUGGUUUGAUUAUUUAACAGAAUUCUCAGCUCCAACUUGGUCACUCCCAGAGCUGUAAAUCUUUGUAAAAUAGGGAUAUUUUAUAAUUGUGAUGAGGAAAACAGUAACUUUUGGAAAAAUGGACAAUAAAACCAAGCUGGAUUCUUAACUGGAAUGAUGUGUGGAUUUCUUUGGAUUUAAGCAAGGCCGUGGUGAGGGUGCAGAAUUUUGAGGGUUGAAGUUGGGGAUUGGGAUGAUAAACUUUUCUUUGAGCUAGGUUUUAUGAGCUCUCAGAGAAUUUAUUACAUUUGAGAUAAUUUUGUUACUCUGAAUGGCAUAAAAUUAGUAGGAUGUCUUCUGAGGUAGUAUUGGAAACAGAAAAGUUUUAAUAAAAGGUAAAAUAAAGUUUUUUCAGAGAAAAACUGAGCUAAGGGUAAGAGGUUUUAGUCUUACUAAAACACUCUAUAAAAGCAAUUAUUUCCUUUGUUCUCUUCUUUUUCUAGAGAAUUAUUUAGGUUAGACUUUUUAGUCUCUGUCUAAUUAGACAGCCC